rnacentral:rRNA from 1 species
UACGGAGGGGGCAAGCGUUGUUCGGAAUUACUGGGCGUAAAGGGCUCGUAGGCGGCCAACUAAGUCGGAUGUGAAAUCCCCAAGCUUAACUUGGGAACUGCAUCCGAUACUGGAUGGCUUGAAUCCGGGAGAGGGAUGCAGAAUUCCAGGUGUAGCGGUGAAAUGCGUAGAUAUCUGGAGGAAUACCGGUGGCGAAGGCGGCAUCCUGGACCGGCAUUGACGCUGAGGAGCGAAAGCUAGGGGGAGCAAACGGG